GACGUAGGGCGCAAGCGUUGUCCGGAUUUAUUGGGCGUAAAGGGCUCGUAGGCGGUUUGUCACGUCGGGAGUGAAAACUCAGGGCUCAACCCUGAGCGUGCUUCCGAUACGGGCAGACUAGAGGUAUGCAGGGGAGAACGGAAUUCCUGGUGUAGCGGUGGAAUGCGCAGAUAUCAGGAGGAACACCGGUGGCGAAGGCGGUUCUCUGGGCAUUACCUGACGCUGAGGAGCGAAAGCAUGGGGAGCGAACAGG
rnacentral:rRNA from 1 species